GACGAACGCUGGCGGCGUGCUUAACACAUGCAAGUCGAACGGAAAGGCCCCUUCGGGGUCCUCGCGUGGCGACCAGGUGAGUAACACGUGAGUAACCUGCCCUUGACUUCGGGAUAACUUCAGGAAACUGGGGCUAAUACCGGAUAGGAAUCCUUGCUGCAUGGUGGGGGUUGGAAAGCUUCGGCGGUUUUGGAUGGACUCGCGGCUUAUCAGCUUGUUGGUGGGGUAGUGGCUUACCAAGGCUUUGACGGGUAGCCGGCCUGAGAGGGCGACCGGCCACAUUGGGACUGAGAUACGGCCCAGACUCCUACGGGAGGCAGCAGUGGGGAAUAUUGCACAAUGGGCGGAAGCCUGAUGCAGCAACGCCGCGUGCGGGAUGACGGCCUUCGGGUUGUAAACCGCUUUCAGCAGGGGCGAAGCUUGUGGUGACGGUACCUGCAGAAGAAGCACCGGCUAACUACGUG
rnacentral:rRNA from 1 species